UCUAUCUGAGGGUGAACCAAGCCACCAAGAUUCUCUUUCAAGAAGGUGAAUUUAGAGACCAAAAAGCAAGCAAACAAACACAGGGUAUGAGGGACUUUUAGCUUAAAGGUCAUGUAGACUAAGACUAGGGGCCACCGUGGGGAAGCAGAGGAAACAGAGCUGAUAGAGGGAAGCAAACAUGAGAGAUAAGAGUGGCCAUGCAUUCCCUAAGAAACGGACCAAGUGGUUUCAAUUCCUAGUGGUUUCUCCUCCUUUUAUUGAGGAGUGUGUGAUUAUUUUCCUUGUAACUACUGUGCUUUAAGACAUCCCUCCAAUUUAUAAACGGGAAGGAUAGUAAUUGCCUCGUGUUUCAGAAUAUUUAGCUAUAGAAUGAUUAGAAUCAAAAUUAUCUUAGACACCAAAGAGUACAGAAAAUCAAAGAUAAUCUCAGGCAAUGAGACAUAAAUCCCAUUUGCUAAUUCUGCCAUUUGGAGAUAAUGAUGAUGGUGCUGAUUUAAGAUAUGUUUAGCAUGUACUAAGUACCAAGCACUGUUUUAAGCAUUUGUAUAUAUUGCCUUAUUUAAUCCUCACAAAAACCCAGAGGUGUAUGCAGAAAUAUUAGUCCCAUUUUACACACAAGAGAACUAAGGUAUAGAGAGAAUAAGUCAUGGAGCCAAGAUUCAAAUUCCCUAAUUCAACAUCAAAGCCUAAAUUCUUGAAAGUGCAAGUCUCUUCACAAACUUCAGGAAUUAAGCUGCCUACAAGAAAUCUAAGUUUUAGGGUGGUUCAAAACCUUACAUAUCCCUCUGGAUCAAAUUUUUUUCUUUUUUUCCAUGUUCUACUCAAAUCUCAGAGUUACCAUUUAGCUCUGGUAUCUCCAUUAAAGGUGGUUUCUAUCUGGAACAAGAUAUAAUGCUUUACAUGGGCAGCUUCUAUACAGCAAUAGUAAGAAUGACCAUUUACUGAGCAAUUGCAAGGCAUCAGGAUUAUGGUUUAUGAGCACGUGAUGUUUCUUAUCUCACAACUCUGUGAGGUAGAUACUCUCCACAACCCAGGGAGGCAAAAGUGGAGGCCACUUCCACUGUAACUGUAUAUUAUUACAUAAUAAAAUGCUUAGAAUACAUGCAAAGUAAUUACACAAUACUUACACAAUAAAAAUACAGCUCUAGAUAUAUAAUAAAUUUAAAAAUAUUUGUUUCAUGAAAACAUGAAGGUAGUAAUUAGCAAUUAUCUCUCUGCCCUGGAGAAGCGUGUGGAAAAGGAGCAGCUGUCCUCGCUUUUUUCAGAACUUCUGUCAGAGAUGCUUUCAAUUACACAGUUGUGUUUUUGGCCCCCAGAAUGAUUCAUUCUCAGAAUUGUUCUUUAGUCCUUAAUAUCUCCAUUAAGAAGAGCUUCCAUCAAGUGCUUCCGAGGCGUGCGAUGCCCUGCUGGUGGGCGAAGUGCAGAGGACACGGGGUCCUUUGGCAUCCACUGGACGCUGCACUGUCUGGCCUGAGUCAGCGAGGGCAGAAAUACGGGCUGAAAUGCAAGCAGGCUGAACUCCUGGGCUCAAGCAAUCCUCCUGCAUCGGCUGCUCAAGUAACCGGGACUACGACUACGGAUGCACACCACCACGCCCUGCGACAGUUAUUUGAUUCUUAAUAGUCCAGUCAUAAUGAGACAGGAUACUGCAUAAGUCAAAGACCACACAAAGUAUCAAUCUCCCAGAUUUAUUUCGAUGGUUUUGCAACAUGGGAAGCCAUUCAAGCUCUUUGCCCUUGGUUUUCCUGACUGGAAGUGGGAUGAUACAGGAAGAAGGCCCUCACCAGGUUUGGUCCAUUGAUCUUGGACUUCUCUAAGAAGGGUCUCAGAUUUGUGGCCCUUUGCAAUGGACACGGCAUUUCCAGCUUGCAGCCAGGCACGGCCAAUAGCAUUACCUGGUGCACCAUAUGCAAAGAAACGUGUGGGUUGGACAAAUAAAUGAAGCACGCAUCAUUGAAUGGAGCACAUAAAUGAAGAUGAGACUGUAGGAAACUCUGGAAACCAAGACGAGAGAGUGCCUGUGUACUCUGACUCUGUCAUACCUCUUACUCAAGAUGCACCAAAAGUGGAAGAACUUCAGAAAAGCAGCCAUCGUUAUGUCCCAAGUUCUGGAUCUUCUUCUCUCUUACCCUUCCCAAUUUUUCUUACCUCACUGCAUUUACCUAGAAUAUAAAUCCUGCCUUCUGCUCCCAGGACUUGCCUCAAAGACUUCACAACGGAUUUGUUCCAUUCAGUUGUGGGCCUCAGUGUUCCUUCUUACGCAGAGUUUAUUCUGUUUCUCCCUGCUAUUCCAAGUGACUAUACCCUGAAUCAGACUUGGACCCCUGGACCAUGCUUCAGUGUUCCACAUUGCUUUGCAGGGGUCACGCCUAAAUGUAGGGAGAGAUACAUUAGGCAGUGCCGAAAUGAAUAUUAAUCUAAUUUCAAGAAAGAAAGAGAGGGAGGGAGGGAGGAGGAAGGA